AAAACUACAAUCAUGCUGGAAAAGGAUUCUUAUUUUUCAUUAUACGCAAGCAUUUAAGGCUACUGCAAAAGGAAUCCAGAAAGGUGUCCAAAUCCCUGAACGUAACAUCUGUGCCAAUAAUAAACAAAUCCACAAGGCUGACACAUUCCUCCGUCCCUGCUGGAAUAAUACAACUGCAUUCCUGCCUUCUGGAGGGUUUCUUCCCCAAAGAGUAGGAUUUUGCACUGCUACUAAUGCAGCCUGCUUCCCCCACGCCCUCGGAUGUGUAUGCUCAUUCCAGAAAGUCUCAAGGCAGCUCUAAUGACACUUUAACCAGCCUCGGCCUCAGUGGGUGCUUUGUUCGAGCCCAAACAAAACAAGAAUUGACAGCGUUCGAGUGUCUCCUACUGUCCUGUCACACUCGGGAGAGUUUCCUUUGGAUGAAGUUUCUUUCCGAUGCCAUGAGGGCACUACGGAGAGAAAAUGCGCCUUGAAUGACAUCUACCUAGCAGGCCCCUGCACCGUCAUACCCGUACUCCCAGAUUUCGCUUGGCCGCACUUCUGGAAGAAAAUCGUCGAAAUUAAGAGCUGGAACUAGGGACCUCGGAAGAUCAUCGAGUCCAACCCCCCUCCUCUGUGCAGGAAUAUGGUGAAACGCUCUGCAUUUAUCCUUAUUGAACUGCAUCCAGUUCCACUCCACCCACCUUUCCAGCUUGUGCAGGCCUGCUUGGAUCCGCAUCGUAUCCCCUAGCAUGACUGCUUUUCCCCAUAACUUAGUAUCAUCCACAAACCUGGCCAGCGUGCUUUCCACAUCCUCAUCUAAAUCGCUGUUAAAGAUGUUGACCAGCACGGGGCCAAGAACUAAACCCUGCGGGACACCACCUUCCUGCAUAUAGAAAUGGACCUUUUCUGCGCUCUGAGGUUCGCUACCUUGAGGAACAACCACCCUUCCUGAACUCCCUUCCCCUCCAGUCCCUCUUCCCAUAGGGUCUCUCCCACUAUUUCCCAAAGCUCAUUGAAGUCAGCCUUCCUGAAGUCGAGCACCUCUGUCCUACUGGCUGACUUCCCAUGGUCAGGGCUGAGUGAGCACCAAGCAUUUUAAAAGUACGACAUGUUGUACGUACACCAAAAUCAUGCUUUUUGUCUCAGCCACAUGUUUAAGUUUGUGACAGGGAUCACUCAGGAGACUGUACGCAGGGCAAUCCAUAAGUGUACAGCAGCCAAGCGCAGGUCUUUGACCUCUUGGUCUUGCAUGUGUGGCUGCACUUGGCUGGGAGCACAGGGGGCCUCUGAGUAAAGCAAGGUGCAACUCUUCACCUUUGUUACACAGGAAAUUUUGAUAUUUAAAGUUGCAUUUUUGUUCUGAAUUAGAACUAAAGCAGCCUUUUUAAAAUUCCUGUGAAACAAAAAAUAAAUAAAUAAAAAUAUCAUUUUGAAAAAUUCAUUUCAAAACAAAGAUUUUGUGUCCAAUUUUUCCCCAUUUUUAUGUUACUCUUCUUUUUAUAUCACUUCAAGAUAUGUCAGUAAUAGUACUGCAUAAUAUGACAUAUAUUAUGCCAAGACAUGUCAUAAUAUGCCAUCCUUAUGUUAGCCUAGAAUAAUUUUCCUGAGCUACUGAAAACAGCUGUUCUUCUGUUGUAAUACACUGAUUGCUUUCCCUCUCUUCUUGUUUAAAGUGUCUCCAGUUUGUGGUAUAACAAAUCAGCCUGACACUCAACAAGGAACAAAUACAUAAAAGAAAAUACAAAA